GGGAGUGUAGCUCAGUGGUAGAGCAUUCGACUGCAGAUCGAGAGGUCAGUGGUUCAACUCCGCACGCUCCCU
rnacentral:tRNA from 1 species